rnacentral:sRNA from 10 species
UGUAUCUGAAGCCUGACGAGGAUGAGAACCUCCGGAGGGCAAGAGGUUCGACCCGAGCGAAGCGAGAGAACGUUGCGUCAGCAACGGCCCGCAGGGCGAGUCAUCCUCUAUCACCGGCAG